UACGUAGGGUGCAAGCGUUGUCCGGAAUUAUUGGGCGUAAAGAGCUCGUAGGCGGUUUGUUGCGUCGGCUGUGAAAUCCCGAGGCUCAACCUCGGGUCUGCAGUCGAUACGAGCAAACUAGAGUGUUGCAGGGGAGACUGGAAUUCCUGGUGUAGCGGUGAAAUGACGCAGAUAUCAGGAGGAACACCGGUGGCGAAGGCGGGUCUCUGGGCAACAACUGACGCUGGAGGCACGAAAGCGUGGGGAGCAAACAGG
rnacentral:rRNA from 1 species